rnacentral:rRNA from 1 species
GAUCCUGGCUCAGGAUGAACGCUGGCGGCGUGCUUAACACAUGCAAGUCGAACGAAGCACUUAUCUUUGAUUCUUCGGAUGAAGAGGUUUUGUGACUGAGUGGCGGACGGGUGAGUAACGCGUGGGUAACCUGCCUCAUACNGGGGGAUAACAGUUAGAAAUGACUGCUAAUACCGCAUAAGACCACAGAGCCGCAUGGCUCAGAGGGAAAAACUCCGGUGGU